rnacentral:rRNA from 1 species
UACGAAGGGGGCUAGCGUUGCUCGGAAUCACUGGGCGUAAAGCGCACGUAGGCGGAUUGUUAAGUCAGGGGUGAAAUCCUGGAGCUCAACUCCAGAACUGCCUUUGAUACUGGCGAUCUUGAGUCCGGGAGAGGUGAGUGGAACUCCGAGUGUAGAGGUAAAAUUCGUAGAUAUUCGGAAGAACACCAGUGGCGAAGGCGGCUCACUGGCCCGGUACUGACGCUGAGGUGCGAAAGCGUGGGGAGCAAACAGG